CUGAGUGGCAAACGGGUGAGUAUAAUGUGGGAAUCUGCCUUUUGGUUCGGAAUAAUACGAGGAAACUUGUGCUAAUACCGGAUAAGCCCUAAUGGGGAAAGUUUUAAUGCCAAAAGAUGAGCCCGCACUUGAUUAGCUGGUUGGUAAGGUAAUGGCUUACCAAGGCAACGAUCAAUAGCUGUUCUUAGAGGAAGACCAGCCACAUUGGGACUGAGACACGGCACAAACUCC
rnacentral:rRNA from 1 species